rnacentral:rRNA from 1 species
GAUCAUGGCUCAGGAUGAACGCUAGCGGAACGCCUAACACAUGCAAGUCGAACGGAUUCUGCGUUGUAGCAAUACAUAGUAGAAUUAGUGGCAAACGAGCGAGUAACGCGUGCCUAACCUGCCCUUAAGAUGGGAACAACUACGGAGACGUAGCUAAAUCCCAAUAUGCUCACGAUGGUGAAAUGCCGAUGCGAGGAAAGAUUUAUCGCUUAAGGAGGGGGGCGCGUCCUAUCAGGUAGUUGGUUGAGGUAAUGGCUCACCAAGCCUAUGACAGGUAGCUGGUCUGAGAUGAUGUCCAGCCGCGAUGGGACUGAGAUACGGCCCAUACUCCUACGGGAGGCAGCAGUGGGGAAUCUUGCACAAUGGACGAAAGUCUGAUGCAGCGAUCCCGCGUGAAGGAUGAAGCGUUACGGUGUGUAAACUUCUUUUUGGUGGAAGACGAAUGACGGUACACCAAGAAUAAGAGACGGCUAACUACGUGCCAGCCGCGGC